CAACCACUUCCUGUCAGCUAGCAAAAAGGAAGUGUAGGCAUGGAAACCAAUAUAAUGAUGCAAAGCCAUUUGCCCAGAUUGCAAAGUAUUUCGCACAGGGACUGGGUCAGAAAGCAACUUUCUCUUCUGCCAUUAAAAAUGAACAAAACUCAAUAAGGAUCAAAUCUUUAAAGUGACAUAAAACAGCUCUGUAAAAUAAUGAAACAGCUGUGUUUUACUCAAUACCAUCGUCUUCUAAGGCCUUUUCAGCACAGAGAGUAAAGCAAUGGAGGAGGAAUAAGACAGUCAUGGAGAACCGAGCAGCAGGGAAGAGGUCAGAAAGGGGAAGUGCUUUGUCCAGCCUGACCCUUUAAACAUCCAAGGAUUUGCAGAAAUAUCAAGGGCAGUGGGAGAUCAAUAUUGCUGAUGGCCUUUACUAAGCAAUUCUGUGUGAUCUGGCGUUGCUGCUCUGUUGGCGCUGUGAGAGAGACACCUGCAAUCCCAUGUGUCCACUUGGGAAAAGGUGAAAUAAAUGAAUCUGAUGCUGAAGACGGUCUCACUCAGAAAGCGUCUAACUCAGGAAACAGAGCUGCUGCAGAACUGGAGUGAGAAAAUCACCUUUCGAUCCCCACCAGAGCUAAUUGUGUGACACAUUAAGGACCUGCAACUGCAGAUCAAAACGGAAACAAGACUGAAAAACACUUUGAAGGUCAUUUCUGAUGCUAAACAACAUGACUUCUCUCAUGCACCGGACACAUGUUUUUUUCCUGCAAUUUGGAAUCGUUCCUCCUUGGUUUUUUUUCCUCACGGCUUCCCGGAAAUCCUGGAAUUGCCCCCUGCAAACUAACUCCGCUCCAAAGCCACAACCUCUGCAGCUGCCCGAGUUCCAUGCUGACUUCAGUAUUUGCACACUGCAAGAGGCACAUACGCCACAGAAGGGCUAUUAUUGAGCACAGAAGUAACAUGGCUCUUAUUGACAGCUUCAUCAACUUAGAGGUGCUGGCCAAGUCACGAGAGAACAGUGUGUUCAAUGGAAACUCAAGCAUGCUAAGUCUGACUCCAGUUAAGUGCCAGUACAUCUCCCUGGGCAUCCAGUUCACGGCUGUCCAAUAAUUCUUCCCAUUUUCAACAUCUGGAUAAUAAUAAUCCUUAUACUCACAUAGCGUUUUUCUGGAUACUCCUCUCAGAAAGCGCUUCACAGGUAAUGGGGAUU